rnacentral:lncRNA from 1 species
AAUUUUGUGGCUAAAAGAGAUUAAUUAAACUUAGGGGACUGAAGUUGUAAUUAUAAGAUAAUUAUAAUUGGGCGAUGGAUCACCUAAUAAUAUAUAGGUUGGACGAAUUCUAUGGGAAGCCCAUUAGAAAUCGUCCAAGGGAUAUGUUUAAGGAGUCCAUGGGCUGCUUAGGGCCUAAGCAGUCAAAUUAGGGUUUCCUAGUUGUAAACCCUAAUAGCCUACAUGUAUAUAAAGGGCCCCUAUGCCCCAAAAACGUAGAGAAGUCUUCCAUUAGGGUUUCCAGCCGUUUUUGGUGCCUCCUUUUCUUCUCCUCUUCAUCCAAGUUGCAUAUGGUGUUUGUGACUCCAUUAGAGGUACUACACUUGUGGUACUUGCUUUCAAGAGCUAAGGAAAUUCAAGGAACUAGUUGUUAUUGCUAUAUAACAACAAAAGGUAUGUAUUCUAGCUUUAUAUAUGAAUUUCGAAAAUUAUAGUAGCAUGCCAGGUUUCUUUUUGUGUUCAUAAAGCUGUAUAACUAAUAGUGAAAACAUAGAUCCAAUACUAGGGUUGCAUGCACACAUAGGAUUGUUUGUAUUAAACCCAUCAGUGGUAUCAGAGCCAUUGGUUUUUGUUUUCAAUUAGCUUUUAUUCAAAUUUAUGAACUUGACAUAUUAGGGUUUAUGGCUAAUGAACCCUAAAGGCUAGGUAUUUUUCGCAAUUAGGGUUGCUAAACCCUAGAUGGCGAUUUUUGCUAGGGUUUCCCAAAUCCUUUCCUUAGCCUCCAAGAUUUUGAAAUCUAGGGUUUUCCAACCCUUGGAUUUCGAAAUUACCUCCUUCCCCAAGGUUAGAUCCUAAAUUUUAGGGAUUUGGAUAAUCCCAUAUCUUGUAAUUAUCUUUUAAUUGUUAAAUAUGGUAAUUAAAGAUCUUGAAUUAUCCCAUCCCUUAUUUUCGAGAUUUAGAGAGGGAUUCAAGGGAUUUGGAUAUCUUAGAUGUAUAAUUGGUAAUUAUCCUCAUGAUCUAGAUAAUCCCUUGUGAUUUAAUAAUUUAAAUUAAUUGUUUAAUUUAUGGUAAUUAUUAAAUCAACAGUUUUAAUAUUUAAAAUUUUAAUUUAAAUGUCUCAAAUUCAAAAUUUUAAGUGAGAUUAAAACCUAAUUGUUUUGAAGAGUUUCAAAACUUGCCCUCAAGUUUUGGAAUUUAAAUUGUUGAUUAAAAGUUAAUUUUGAAAGUCUAAAAUCCAAAACCCUGAUUUUGAAAAGUUCAAAUUAAACCCUUAUGGUUUUAUUAAAUUAAUUAAGUGUAUAAUUAAAAGAGAUUUAAUAAAUCCAUAAUGAUUUUGGUUAAUUAAAAGUAUAAUUUAAACCACCUAGUAUUUUAAAAGUGUAAAAUACACCCUUAUACUAUAUAUAACAUUAAAAGUUUAAUAUUAUAUAUGUAUAACUAAAAAUUCAGUCUUACCGUUAGUAGGCCUCAUUCACGAAGCUAGUCUAUAAGGGGUGUUUAAGGAAAUUGCCUAUAAAAUGGCGAUUGAAUGGGUAUCCACUCUUACCCACCGCACUCUUGACUAGUGGAGGGUCGUUAGCCGAACGGGUAGGAUAGGACAGAAACCUUCCAUUAUAAGUAUAAUGAAGUACAAAGUAACUAAAUGCUUUUUCAAAUUCCCAAAUCAUAGUUACUUUAGGCAAAAUGUGAAAUUGUAUGCUAACCCAUGGAAUUACACUUCGUACCCUUGUCAAACGUUAGUGGAGCGUGUGUGGUUAACCGGCACACUAAUUUGGGGAUGACAUUGGUAGCGAAGGGUGACUCGAUGUUUGUCAUAGAUCAAUGGAGCGUGUGUGGCUAACCGGCACAUUGAUUAGGUGAUAGUAGCAUUGGGUGCACCACGUGAUUCGUAUGGUUAUUCACACCUUGUUUGUGAUCCUCGGCAUCCCAGUCACAAAUAGUAGGGCAUAAUCGAGAUUAAACAUGCCAUUGAAAAGUUCAAUGAAUCUCAAAAGAUCUAGGAGUUUCAAUUCAUUUAAAACUUAAUCUUCCUUUUCGUUUUUCAUGGUGGAAAUUGGUAAAUCGUCAUUUACCUACCUUCAAAUAUUUUGCAACUAGAUUACGGCAUCCCUCUUCUAGGUUGUAGAGUAUUGUGUUGGAUCCUAGCUUGAUGUUUCAUUUGGGUGUUACAUCAAGAAUUCUAAUCAACUUAACUUGAAUUUUCUCCCGUUUUGUAGAUGUCUGAAUCUUACAAUGGUCUUCCCAAAUCCUUUGGAACAAGCUUUCCAAAUGAAGAUGACGUUCCGAGAUACGAUCAAGGAAAUGAGAGUCAUGCUUCACUUCCUCCACCUCCUCCAAUUGUUCUCCCUGACCCACAAGUUCAAAGGCUUGAAAAGUUCAAGCUCACUCAAGCCCUUUUGGCAAGUAAACACGAAGAUGGGAAACCUGUGUGUGCACACGUCUUAGAGAUGAAGUCACACAUUGAUAGGUUAAGCAUGUUGGGUGUCGAGAUUUCAAGCGAGUUGGCUGUUGACUGGGUUCUUCAGUCACUUCCUGAAUCAUAUAGUGAGUUCGUUAGAGAGUACUAUAUGAUGGACCACGACGUGACCCUAAUUGAUCUCACCUAUUUGCUUAUAGCUGCUGAAUCAACAAUGAUUUGGCGUGCUGGUCAAGCAAAUUUGUCUAGUGAAUCAAACUCCCAAACUUCAAUGGACACUGGCAACAUUGGAAGUCCAGAAAGAACUAAGUCUGUGAUUGUCCGAUGUGCUGUGCCAAAGGAGUCCAUUUGCUUUUAUUGCCAAGAGAAGGGGCAUUGGAGACGAAGUUGCCCUAACUACCUGAGAGAUCUAAGAGAUGGGAGAGUCAAGACGUAUGGCUCUGCUUCAGGUAAAAUCCAUUAUCUAACUCUUUUGAGUUCCUAUUCUAGAUUCUUAAUACAUGAUGUGAUAAGAUUACAUUUUGAUGUUUUGUAGGAUCGAAGAAAAGAGAGGAAGCUUGAGGGAAGAAGUGAGCUGAAUCUAAUCAUGAAGAAAUGGAUUUCGAUCGCAUUACUUGAAGAAUGGAUUCUUGAGCUACUACUUGGAGUUAGAAUAGAUUGUUAAGAAAUAUGUAAUAACAUAGUUUUUCAAUUGAAUUGCAUUGUAAGGACAAAUUUUUUCCGCAAUAAAAUGAAUUUUGAUUUUAUCUUAUUUAUUUAUCCUUGCAAUGGCAUGUAUGAAAAAUUGAUGUUUGAAUGUUUCUAUUAUUAGCAAUAAUGGAUUUGAUUCUUAAUUAUGUUAUUUGUGGAAAUGUCAAAAGUUUACCAAAUAGGGAGAGUUUCUCAUCGCCCAAGUUUCAAUUGGACAGAAACUUGGAAUCAUGCAAUGUGUAUUGUAUGAUGAAUGAAAAACUUUCACAUUUGGGAAACUUAGACUAAUUCUUUGGCAAAGUGUCAAUUGAAGGACUAGGAGAUCGAGUACACUAGGUCGUACGUUGAUCAAGUCUACCACAAGAGUGACAAAGAUAUUCGUCAUGAUUUACUAAAGUUUAGUAAAUAUGGUUAUACUUAUAAGAUUGAGUAUAAUUCUGAGUUAACUGAAAUAGUUUCAAUCAAUAGCAGAACGAAUAAGAAGAAUCAAGAAGGCAGAAAGAUAAAAGUUUCUCCAUUCUAAGAAGAAGGGAGAGUACCUUUUAUUGUGUUUUAUGAUGAAGUCUUAAUGAUUAAGAACCAUAUCUCAAUUGAUCCUCUAAGUGAGUCUUAGUGCAUUUGCAUGUCUAAGAAGAGGAAUCGAGAAUUGUAGAAAUGGUUAAAUCAAAGAGUCAAUCAUACUUCGUUCCAAUAUCAAGUCUUAGAGUCAUACUCCAAGAUUGUGACAUUGAGUGACAAGUCUUAAGUAGGUUUAUAACACUCAUCAAAUGUGGAAUUUGGAAAAGUUUUCUUAUUCUUGCACAUUAGAAAUUGGUAAGUUGUGAUGUCUUGGAUAAGACAAAGACCAACUAGGACCAAUUUGUGAAGUGUUUUGUCUUGAUAAGAACUACACUAACUCUUGAAUAUUUGCUUUGUCAAGAAAUGUUUCUUGACAAGAGAAUCUUAUAUGUCAAGGAGUCAGUGGGAGUCUUAAUGGUCUUGAAAGGUUUCAAGAACAAAUCAAGAAUAUACCUUAUCGAUCAUCACUAGCACACGACUUGAGGUUUGCAACCUAUCGUGCUGACAUUAUUUUGUUUUUGUGCCAUUCCAAUUGAGUUAAUUGCGUAUGUGAGUUCUAUGAGUUCUCAUUUGAAUGCAUACUAGAGCCUUAGUCGAUGGAAAGUACAUUGAUAUGUAAGGACAAGUUACUAAACUACUUGGAAGACAUGGUGGGCACUCGUGUUACCAUAAGGCAAGAAAUCAAGAUUAAGAAAGUUCAGUCCAUAUGAGUUUGGAUUUGUCGCAAACCUUGGUUUUGGCAAAUUCACAUGGAUAGGAACUCAUACACCAUAAAAUCUAAGUGUCAUAAGAUUCCCUCCUUCAUGAAAAUGACUGUGAGGAAAUGCUUUCACUAAGAGAGAUUUUAAGAAGAUAGCGAUUGUGAAAAUUGUAUUCUCAAAAUUCGAUUAUGGUUACGGCAUCCCUUUCCAUAGUUCGAAUUAUGAGAUUUGGCAAUUAGUUUCAACAUUUGGAACUUAGUAACAUAAGUUCUGAAUUGUUUAAACACACAUAUGAGCUAUCUAAGACAAAGGUGUAUAAGGUUAAGAAGCCUAGAUAAAGGCUUAUCGAAGCAUCUGGUAUUAGAAAUAUGAAUUUCAGAAAUUCAAUAGGCAUUGUUUUCUGAAAGUUCAUUUGUUUUCUGAAUACAUGUCAAAGCUAGUGGGAGCAUAAGUGUUAUGCUUAUAUGAUAAUAAUCAUCAUGAUAGUGGGAGCAUAAGUGUUAUGCUUGUAUGAUUAUUAUGGCGAGUAUUGCAAGUUAGCAAUAUUAAUUAUAGAAAAACAAAGAUUCAAUUUGCAAAGUUGCAUGGGUUGAAAAGUUGUUUUAAUAUAAUUAAGGGAGAGAAUAUUAUACUUCGUUUCAAAAUCUAAAGCUUAGAUUGAGAAAUUUUAAUAUUUUCAGUCAAAGGAUACAUUGUGUGUUCUUAAAAUUCGAUUAUGAUUACGGCAUCCCUCUUCAUAGUUCGAAUUGUGAGAACAUGACACAUAAAAUAUUAUGGCAAAAGAUUGGUAAAGUAUCAUAUCUUUAUGUAAGACAUUAUGCAUCGUGUCCCAUACGCUUCGGGUAUAGGAUCGAUUGCAAAUGCUAUAAUAUUUUACCAUUCUAAAAUUUUCCAAAUGUCUAGCGCAUUAAGAGGGAAAAAGGACUAGAAUUGGUUUUGACUAAAAUAAUUAAACAACUAUCAAAGGACGAUCCAAAGUUCGCUGAGGAUUGGUCGCUUGUGAGUAGUUGGAAGUAUGGUAUUGGAUGGACCAUAUCGACAUUAUUAUGAAUAGAUAAGAUUCUAUUAAGAAUGAGUUGUCAUAUGGCAAAUGUGGAAAUGUUUCCAUAUUGGGAGUUGGAUAUUGAGAUUCUAUGCCUAGAUUAGAAACUUUUAUGCAAGAAGGAUGUUCAAAGGAAUGUACUUUGAAUGUGAGACUUCACGUCUAUGGAAUUGUCUUGUAACAAUUUCUAAGAAAGUACUUUGUAAUUUCAUUAGCCAAGUCUUGGUGACUUUUGUGCUAUGACUUUACGAAAGGAUCGUUGCGUAAAAUGUUAGAAUCUAGCAUAUUCUAGUAGUGGCAAGAACCUUGUGUUCUUACACUAACAAUGGGGAUUAAGGAAUUGUGAAAUGAGAAUCAUUGGAAAAGUUUUCAAUUGUUCUAUUUCACAAAGCAUGGACCAUAGGAAACAAAGUGUGCAUGCUUAGAGCAUGGGACAAUUGUUGUUGUAAUUCAAGUAAUGAGUUGAUUAUCCGAAACAUUAAAUGAUAAAUAAUGAGUAAUCAAUAUGGUGGAUAAAUAGAAGUGUUUUAUUUACUCUCACAAGUUUGGGGCCAUAUAGGAUUAAGUAUUGUUGUUAUGUUUCAAUUUGCAUGUUUUGACUUCCAGAAUAACUAGGUUAUUCAAACAUCCACAGUCGGUCAUACGUUGGGAGUAGGUAUGAAUAAAGACUGUCAUGAAUCUGUCUGUAGAUUGUCUGAAGUGUUUAGACAUGGCACAAGUUUGCUGCAGAGUUCAUGAGUGCUUUGAUAAGAUUAGAGUAUUGGAUUAAACCCACGCUCACUUGGAUCACUUCAUGGUUUUAUCACGAGUGAUUAGUGAGACGAUAAUAUUGUAUAUUCUUGAAACCGAGACGUGUGAGUUGUUAUUUGUUGGUCGGUUACACAUUGAUAAUAAGUAAACGCACCAGUAACUUGGUGUUAUAAAACUUAUUGUUGUGUGUGAUUCGAUCAGUAAAUGCAAGCGAGCAUUUGAGUCGAAGUUUAUCCAUUCCUUUUACCCAAAGUGGGAUAAAAGCGAUAUAUGUGGGCCUCUCGAUGAUUUAGUGAUGACACCUAAGCGCUUGGCCAAGCCGGGACUAAGUUGAUGUGUUCAAUUGUAGUCUGUUAUCAGUCGUCAUAAAUCGGAAGUCGGGAAACAGUAUAGAGAGAAUGAUUGAAAUUCAUGUCUUUUGUCUAUACGAUAUCUUGAGAAUGGAGGAAUAUAUAAUCCCUUAUCUAGAGGACACGCUAUCUGAUAAGAUCAGAGUUGACAGCGGCUUUUGAAAGCUACGAUUGCUGAUCAGGUUCUGAAGUCAUACGGAAAAUAGUUAUUAGACUUAUCCAAGUGGGAGACUGUUGGAUUAGUGUCUAAGUCCAUAACUAUUUUGGUAUGUACUUGACCCGAUUAUGAGCAUGGUCCUUUUGGGUUGCCUUCACCAUAGCAAUAUGUAGGAUGAAUUAAGGAGAGAAAGGUUUAAAUAUGAUUUAUUAAUAUAUUAUGAGAAUAAUAUAUUAAAGGAGAAAUCAUAUUGUUUAAUUAAUAUUAGUCAAGAAUUAAUUGAUAAUUAAUUUUGUGGCUAAAAGAGAUUAAUUAAACUUAGGGGACUGAAGUUGUAAUUAUAAGAUAAUUAUAAUUGGGCUAUGGAUCACCUAAUAAUAUAUAGGUUGGACGAAUUCUAUGGGAAGCCCAUUAGAAAUCGUCCAAGGGAUAUGUUUAAGGAGUCCAUGGGCUGCUUAGGGCCUAAGCAGUCAAAUUAGGGUUUCCUAGUUGUAAACCCUAAUAGCCUACAUGUAUAUAAAGGGCCCCUAUGCCCCAAAAACGUAGAGAAGACUUCCAUUAGGGUUUCCAGCCGUUUUUGGUGCCUCCUUUUCUUCUCCUCUUCAUCCAAGUUGCAUAUGGUGUUUGUGACUCCAUUAGAGGUACUACACUUGUGGUACUU